CCUUGUACACACCGCCCGUCACACCAUGGGAGCGGGUUCUGCCAGAAGUAGUUAGCCUAACCGGCAAGGAGGGCGAUUACCACGGCAGGGUUCGUGACUGGGGUG
rnacentral:rRNA from 1 species